CUUCAAGAACAACAGUAACCAAAAGUCAGAGAAUGGCACAGAAUCUAGAAUAGGACAACAAGAAGCUCAUCAAAUGCAGUACCUACAGGAAGGACUGGGAAAAUUAGGUUGAUUAGCCUAAAAUAACAUAAGAUUAAGGAAGGGAACAGAUAAGGAUCCUCAAAGGUCUGAAACACCCUAGGCUCAUCUAUAUGUGGACUGAACAUCACCGACAAUACAAUAGAGUGGAUAUGCUGCAGAUAUCAUGGGUACAUGGGAGUCAUUUUCCCACUCCUUACUAAGAAGUGGUAAAACAGUUGCAUUAUGAUUUCCAGUCUGGUUUUCAUUAGAUGAUAACGUUUUUAUUUUUAUUCCUCUCCCCUUCUCCAUUUCAUCAAAUCUUUUAUUUAUUGAAGCUUAUCAGUACAGUUACAUAUAAAAGCUUGAAGAAUUAAUUUUUAUAUAAUUGGAUGAUGUUUUCUUUUUGCAACAUGGAAAAAUACUUAUAUAGCCUUUGUGAUUUACUAUGGGUCUGACUUCAGCCACUAUUGAAAACUUAGUGUUCCCUAAUAAUACAUGAAAAUGUCAGGUAAUGGUUUAGCUAUCUCUGCUCCCUGAGUGCUUUUUGAAUUAUGGUUCUAUUUAAGAAAUAUGUGUCUAUUAUUAUUGUACUUUUGGAAGGGAUUAUUUCACUUAUAAAUUAUUUCCAUCAUCUUUUACAGUUGCUAUCACAGCUUGACCUGUAUCCGAUUCCUACCUAAUUAAAGACUUUAUCACCUCAUCAAUUCCUUUUUGAAAUGUCAAAUUAUUACUACUAUUAUUUUAUUGCAUAGCACUAAGGAUUAUAUUGUUAAGAAGACCCAAUUGCCUCUUGAAAGAACUUUAUCUCAUUAGAUCAAAAUUUGCAUAUAGAUCUAACUAGGAACUUGAUUUAGUUCUACCAUACAGAUAAACAGAAAAAAAAUAAAAAUAAAAAAGCAGUUACACAUUUGAAAGCUGUAAGACAAGUGUUACUUCACGUUUAUAAUCUGAAAAAAGCUGUAGAGUCCUACAAAUGAGUUCUUGAAACUUGUUAGCUAGGCUAUAGUCGUAA